rnacentral:rRNA from 1 species
CGGUGACUAGUUGGCAGCAAUGUUGACUAGUUGUAGUGGCGAAAGGGUGAGUAACACGUGGGUAAUCUGCCGUGAAGUUCGGGAUAACCUCGAGAAAUCGGGACUAAUACCGGAUGUGAUAUCUUGGAGGCAUUUCCAAGAUCUUAAAGCUGGGGACCGAAAGGCCUGGCGCUUCAUGAUGAGCCCGCGACCUAUCAGCUUGUUGGUAAGGUAACGGCUUACCAAGGCGACGACGGGUAGCCGGUCUGAGAGGACGAUCGGCCACACUGGAACUGAGACACGGUCCAGACACCUACGGGUGGCAGCAGUCGAGAAUCUUUCACAAUGGGGGAAACCCUGAUGGAGCGACACCGCGUGGGGGAUGAAUGGCUUCGGUCCGUAAACCCCUGUCAUUUGUUAACAAACCUCUUAAAUUAAUAGCUUAAGAGCUGAUAGUAGCAAAAGAGGAAGGGACGGCUAACUCCGUGCCAGCAGCCGCGGUAAUACGGAGGUCCCAAGCGUUGUUCGGAUUCACUGGGCGUAAAGGGUGCGUAGGCGGUUAGGUAAGUUCGAUGUGAAAGCUCCGAGCUCAACUCGGAAAUGGCAUUGAAAACUACCUAACUUGAGGGUCGGAAGGGAGACUGGAAUUCUCAGUGUA